rnacentral:rRNA from 1 species
GAUUAGAGUUUGAUCCUGGCUCAGGACGAACGCUGGCGGUGUGCCUCACACAUGCAAGUCGAGCGGAUGUUUAUUAGAAGCUUGCUUUUGAUAAACGUUAGCGGCGGACGGGUGAGUAAUACGUAGGAAUCUGCCUCAAGGAGUGGGGACAACGGGUCGAAAGAUCCGCUAAUACCCCAUAUGCGAGCAAUCGUGAAAGUGAGUAAUCCACCUAGAGAUGAGCCUGCGUCCGAUUAGCUAGUUGGCGGGGUAAAAGCCCACCAAGGCGACGAUCGGUAGUUGGUCUGAGAGGAUGAUCAGCCACAAUGGGACUGAGACACGGCCCAUACUCCUACGGGAGGCAGCAGUGGGGAAUUUUACGCAAUGGGGGAAACCCUGACGUAGCGACACCGCGUGAGCGAAGAAGCCUUUUGGGGUGUAAAGCUCUGUCAGCUGGAACGAACACAAUGACGGUACCAGCAGAGGAAGCAUCGGCUAACUACGUGCCAGCAGCCGCGGUAAAGACGUAGGAUGCAAGCGUUGUCCGGAUUCAUUGGGCGUAAAGAGUUCGUAGGUGGUCUGUUAAGUUUGGUGUUAAACGAGCGGGGCCAAACCCGAUAAGUG